rnacentral:lncRNA from 1 species
GUAAGUCAGGGAGGGUAGCUGCACUCAGCAUGUCCCAGAGUCACCUUCAUCCUGGGAUGCGCCCUCUGAUUCUCAGAGUGAACAUUAAAAAUGGCAGACAAAACCAGGCACGGUGGCUUACGCCUGUAAUCCUAGCACUUUGGGAGGCCGAGGUGGGUGGAUCACCUGAGGUCAGGAGUUCAAGACCAGCCUGGCCAACAUGGUGAAACCCUGUCUCUACUAAAAAUACAAAAAUUAGCCAGGUGUGAUAGCAUACACCUGUAAUCCCAGGUACUCAAGAGGCUGAGACAGAAUAAUCUCUUGAACCCAAGAGGCAGAGUUUGCAGUGAGCCGAGAGGAUUUAAAGAGCUUAGGAAGCAUUUGACUGGAUACGACCAAUCAUAAAAGUUAUGAUGGGCUUUUUAAAUGAUAUAUGUCAUUAACAUGUUAAUUGGCAUGAAAUCUGAACUCGGAGCCAGAGAAAUCUUAGGUGAAUAUGAGGUCAACUCCAUUACAGGCAGUUUUAUAAUGAAAAUUCCAUAAAAGCAUUUUAAAUUUUACUCUGCAAUGUACGUUUUCCCAUUUAUGUUCAAUACAAUGAAAUUUUAGUCCUGCUGUUUUAAAAAAAGAAAAAGAAAAGGCCAUCCUUGAAAUGUUGAGGUGGUUAGCUCGAACUUGUAAUUGACUAGACA